ensembl:lncRNA
UUCAACUCUUUAUUUUAAAAUAAUUUUGACUUACAGAAAUGUCACAACAAUUAUACAAAAAUAUUUUAAUGUACCCUUCACCCAGAUUCCCCAAAUGUUAACAUUUUACUGGGUUUGAUUUAUCUCUCUCUCUCUCUCAGAUUAGAUAGGUGAUGGACAGAUAGAUGAUAGAUAGGUAGGUAGGUAGAUAGGUAGAUAGAGAUAGACAUAGAUACAUUACGGAUAUAGACAAAUAUCUUGUUUCUUCUGGUCAUUCAAGUCUCAGCUGAGAUGCCACCUCUAAAAAGUCCCCUUUCCUGGCCAUUUAACCCCUGUAGCUGUGGUCCCACUCUCUCAUACUCUUCUAAUUGCAGAUCCCAACAACACUGAUCUCCAGCUGGUGUUUUUCUUGGCUGUUUACUUACUGGUCACCUCUCUGCCUCCCCACUGGGAUGUCAGUUUUAUGGGAGAAUUGUCCCGUGUGCCUUCCCUGUUCACUGUUGAAUCCUCAAAACAUAGAACAAGGCCUGCACAGAAUGGGUGCCUAGUCACUGUUUGCUGAAUCGGUGAAUUGGGGACGUGCCCAUGUGGAGUCCACACAGGCACGUGGCGUAGUCUCUGUGCUCGAGGCGCAGAUGUUCCCCAGUGCCGCAGUAGCUGCAGCAUCCCCUCUCAUCAUGGAAACAUCUGCUGUAUCUUGUUUGAGGAGGGGAUGACUGAAGACACAGCUAGCAUUUUGGUGUAAAGCCUCUGAGAAAGAGAGAGAAAACUAUACAAACAUGCACACACACAGGAAGAGAGAGCAGGGCCAGCUUAGUGGUUUAGGCAUGGCUCCGGACCCCAGCUGCCUUAGUCACAUUCAGGUUCUGCCACUUAGUACUGUGUGACCUUGGGCGAAUUACUUAAACGCUCUGUGUCUCAGGUGCCUUAUGUGUAAUAUAUAGAUAAUAAAAAUAUCUUCUUCAUAGACGUUGCACGAUGAAAUGUAUGACUGUAUUUUAAAUGCUUAGAGCCAUGCCUGGCAUCCAGUAAGUGUUCAGUUAACCUCAGCGGAGUAUGUAAUUAUAUAAUUAAGUAAGAACAGGCAGUACAUGCUGUUUGAUAGCCUUUUUUCAUUUGGCAAAAUAUUCUGAAAAUUCCAUAUCAAUACACAUUCCUUUACCACAUGAUUAUUAAUGGCUAAUAUUUUUCCAUCAUAUAGAUGUACUGUAGCAACACAAGUUUCCUGGCAUACCACCAUUGCUGGAUAUUUGAGUUGCUUCCACUUUUUCUCUAUUACAAACAACAUUACGUUGAACACCCUUGGACAUAUAUCUUUGCACACAUCAGCAACUAUUCCUUCUUAUUGCGUUCCUAGAAGUGGAAUCGUUGGGUCAAAGGCUGUGCAUAUUUUCUGACCCAAGAUACAGAUUCCAAGUCCCUGAGACAGGUUGUCCCAGAAGAGGCGUUUCCUUGGGGAUCAAGUGCAGAGGCCAGGGUGGGUCCUAAUGUCAGCCAUUUCCACACUGCCUUCUCUCCCACGGCCAGCCAGGCUGCAGUCCAUGUGUCCUGAGGCCACCACAGAUUCCAGUUGUCCUGUUUACUAGGCUCUGGGCGGGAAAACAAGCUGGACAUUCUCUUCCAAGGACUGUCAGAGACCUUUGCCUUGAACUUCAUCUAAGAGAAUGAAGACAGCCACAUCCAACCUGCUGCUGUCUCACUGCUGGCCUUCCCUCUGACCUUGACUGUGACCCUGUGACCUUGACGGUGGCACUGUGACCUUAACUGUGACCCUGUGACCUUGACUGUGACACUCAGACCUUGACAGUGACCCUGUGUGGGCAAAGACCUCUGUACCCUUUCCUCUGACCUUGACAGUGAUACUCUGACUUUGACUGUGACCCUGUGACCUUGACUGUGAUGCUCUGACCUUGACUGUGACAUUGUGUGUGCAAAGGCCUCUGUACCCUUUCCUCUGUGCUUGAAAAUGGGGAAUGGCCUAACCUUGGCAAGGCUUCUCCAAGAUGGCAAAAUAAACUAUGGAAGCUGCUGUUUCCAAAAUGGGGGACCAGUAUCCCAUUCCCACAUAGCACCCCCAUCCAGGAGGGUGGAACCUCUGAAAGGGUAAGAGGAAAAGCCGAAAAUUUCACAGAAAGAGCCACGGCUCCAGGGCCACCAGGAAGGCAGCCCAGGGCACGUGUGGAGGGACUGCCACCAUGAACGAAGCAGGCAGGAGCACAUCUAGGUUUUGUCAGACGUGAAUAUAUGCAUUUUGAGGAGCUUUCUUUAAGAAAAGAACAUUACAAAUAUAAAACGCCCACGGCCAAUACAACUUACCCAACAGGGGAUGUGUGAUGGGGGGAGGGGGGAAGAAGGUGGCCAUCGUCACCCACUGAGGUUAAAAAUCUCACACCGUGCCAACUCUUCGAACAGCACCUGACCUGCGGGGGCGUUCCCAGGCCACUCUGGGAAGUGGCUCCAAAGCGUCGCUUGAUUAGCAUCGCCCUGUGAUUGGAACGUCUUGGAGCUGAAGGCCAGAGGCAGACUCUUGUCUAAACACCAUUCCGUAUAAACUCCCGCAUUCGGGGCGACCUCCACCCCACACGCUGAGACGGAAUUUCCUGCCAAAUGCAGGCGGGUGUGGCAAGCCAAAUUUAUUUGAUUUAGAAAUACAAGUAAAUAUGAUACUUCUUGCAGAGAAGUGUCCUAAAACAUCUUACUUAUACCAUACUCAGGGAAUACCUUUAUUUUUAAAAGACAAUCCAGCAACAUAUCCUGAGAAAAUUACUUCUCUUCCUGAGUCUGUUUUCCCAUCUCAGACAUGGGCAUGACAAACCCAGGCCCCGGCUCAGUGUGGGAAUGAAGUGAGCUACCACACAGAAGAUCCUGGCACGGGGACCAUUGUUUCUGUGCGUCUACUGGGUCCAGACCCUUGGGCCAGUGCAGGGAAGACAGAGGUGAUGCACCCCAGACCCUGUCCUCAGGCCUUCACAGUCGAACCUCCCUGAGGUCUACUGAAGAGGUUAGCUGUGCAAAACUGAGCUUUGCAAAGCAGGGAGGGGCCUGGCCUGGUGACUGUCAGCUCACAGACGAGAGAAGCUCACUCAGACUGAGGCCCGCAGGCCCAGGGAGGCCAGCCAGCUUUGGGAGCCGACGUGGCGAGGUGGUCAGCCAGGGGUGGGUCCGAGUGCCAGCCUGCCUUGCUGUGUCUUCUGCGGCAAAUCACUUCCCCUCUGGGAAUCUGAGUUUCCACGAGGAUUUGGGGAGAAGCACUAACUGAGAGAAGUACCCAACACAGAACAGGGGCUCAGUAGAUGGAAACGUUUUCUGUUAUAUCCAUCCCCACCCCGAUUGAGAAUUUGGGGUAAAAUCUGGUUCCCUGGGAAGCCAUUUCUCAAUCCUCUUUCUCUGCAAGAAGCAGACUUCCAAGUCCAAGCAGAGGGCUUGAGAGACUUCCCCCUUCUACUUAAUUCUACCGAAUUCUAUUUAAAUGAAGCAUCCUCCUUCAAGCAGGAAACUCAAACCACUUCCUCCUGCUAGAGUUCUUUGCAAUGUCCCCUUUUCUUAACAUCUGGCCAGAUGCCCAACUGCAAGGAGCCUGAAGCCUUUGGUUUGGGGACGGCUCUGUGGCACUUUUCCCUGGUUCCUGAGCUGACUCGGGCCAGCGGGUCUGGCCUGAGAAGCCCAAGUCUGCAACCCAGAGCUCCUGCCAUGGCACUCCCGAGGCUUUCUUCUCAUUGGCAUCCUCCAGUCUGCCAGGCAGCCUGCUGCCAAGAUGGCAAGCCACACUCCAGGGACUUUUGUCACUCCCAGUAUCUUGUCCCUGGAUGCCUUUCUCCACUCCACCAGCCAUGUCUUUGCUGCAGCUCAUUCUCAUGAGGACGAGGGACAUCCUGAGAUCACAGAUUGGGCACUGGACCGAGAGUGGGGAGACCUCGGCUCUGCCAGCAACACAUGCAGCUGGGAUGUCACUAAGCUCCCACUUUCUCAGAUGCAGAAUAAUGGGGGCUGACCCAGAUCAGCCCGAGGGGUCUCCUAAACAGCAGUCCAUGCACCCCCUCAUCCUACACUCUUUCUGUGAAGGUCCCAGCGCCCUGUUCAUUUGAGCAAAAAGUUUAAAAUUCAGGACUCCUCUUGAGUACCAGCUGCAGACUGGGCCCUAUGUCAGGGCCUAAAGAUCUUUAAAUGAACAACAACGCCCUGCUCUGAAGGAGUUCCCAGAUGAGAAACAGGGACAUGUAAAGAUGACAAGAAAGGGGCUGAUGCUAGAAACGAGCACAGAGCCGACAGCCACUGCCCCCUUAGAGCCUCGUCCCAGAGGAGCAACCACACUGAGUCCUGAGGAUGAAGUUGGAGAGCCCUGAGUUCAGAGGAGGUGAGGGAAGGAGAGUCUAAGAAGAAGGAACGGCAUGCGCAAAGCCAGGUCAGAGGUUUGGAAUUAAUCCCACGUGGCCACUGUGCCAUGGUCAUACCACAAGCAGCAGAAGGGUCCAGCAAAGAGGAUGGGACAUGUGCUGGAGGUCCUGGGCCUCAGCCCUCCCCAUGCAGAAGGAGACCCAUCUGUCUGAUGGCGGCUCGUGGAGGUUUCCAGGGCAAUCUGAUGUGGAGGCACUCACCAAACCCAGGAAGCAGGAGCGACUUCCGGGCACCAGCUCCCAGCCCAGCGCCAGCCCGGGGCUCUAGGCGUUUCCCUGCAGAGUCUCCGACUGAGACUUGAAGAAAACAGUCUUAAAAGUCAGACAAAUAUUUAGAGUUUUACAAACUCAGUCUACAAAUCGGGAGGAAUUGGGAAACUCGCUUGUCAGAUGUGCGGUCUGUUCUCUACAAUCCAAAGCGGGCUUGGUUUCCGGGAGGGCGAUGACACUCCUGCCUGCUCACUGCUACGGUGGGACCACGUCUGAAGAGGCGGUGUUUCACGUUAAGGCGACGGAAUUUAAUGAAACAAAGGAGAAAAAGUGGCAUCAAUUUGGUGUUAGGUGAGAAUCAAAAGAAAUAUAUUGCUGAAUUGACUAGAGUUGUUCCAGCCUUAACUGCUGUCCAAGGGAAAAGUGACAUUUCCCAUCUCCUGGUCCCCUUUGCUAGCCCCAUACUUUCACCCUAAUAUAUUCAUUCCGAAAAAAUCAGAGCUUGCUCAGCAAAAGGAAGAUGGAGUCCCUGUAUCUUUCAUCCCUGCCUUCCCCAUGAGAAGGGAACUGGCAUUUCCUGAGGACCUGCUCUGGGCCCGUGCUUUAUCUACACUGGACUUUCAUCUAAUGCCUAACCCUCCAAGGAGCCCACGAUUUUCUCCAAGGCUGAAGCAACCAAGGCUAGAGAGGUUAGAUGAACUUGUUAAGGUCAUGUAGCUCAUGAAAUAUUGUGUGUGACUGACCGAGUUAGGAUUCUGAUCCCCAUUCUUUUCUGACACUAGAGCCCCACGCCCUGUCCACCUGCCCCACUGCCUUCCUAUAAUCCACAGAUUUGCUUCAAGGAGUGGCUGUCUAAGCGUAGUAUCUAUAAAUGAAGGGCUUUCAAAGCAAUGGAAUGGUAUAAGCCCCAUUUAAACAUUCAUUCAUUCAUUCAACAAAUAAUUACUUGAUGCUGUGAUGUGCCAGGUAUUUCCAGCCAAAUAGGCGAACCCCUGCCCUUGCGUAAUUCACAUCCUAUGAGAGGGACAGUGUGAUGGGCGUGAGCAAGGACUUGGGAGCCAGACUCCUGGGACCACAUCUUAACUCAGCCACUUGUGAGCUGUGUGACCUUCAACACAUUACCUAACCUCUCUGUGUCUCAGUUUCCUCAUCUGUAUAGAGGGGCAAAUAAUACCACCUCCGUUUAAAGUUGUUAUGAGGUCUGAAUGAGCUGAUAUUUGUCGAGCAUUUACAAAUGAGUAUCAUUAAAUAAAUAGUAAGGGAACGUAGGUAAUAACAAAGUAAGUAGAUAUAUAGUGUAUUGCAAGAUGCGGAGUGUGAAGGUGGACAAUGAAUCAGGGGAUAGGGAUCGAGCAUGUUGGUGGGGGGUCUGCCUGUUAGUUAGGGUGGCCAGGGAAGGCCGCACUGAGAAGGUGUCAUUUGAACAAAGACCAGAAAGUCAGUGAGCCAACAGGAGCUGCAUAUAAGCCUUUCCCUGGUGGUUUGGAAGAUGCCAGAGGCAUCUGGGGCCCUGCUCCAACUCUUAAUUAUGAACACCAAUUCCCUGAGAUGAUCAAUUUAGGGAUACGGUUAACAAAUUGCAUCCUUACAUUGUGAUGUGAUAUAAAUCAUCAGUGUGUUGGUAAAAGGCUCAUUCUCUCAGGUGGUCUCAGAAACCAGCGAAAAGGCCUUAUGCCGUAAGGGAUAAGGUUAUUUCUGGACUAUUCCUUUAUUAUAAGAACAAAAUUACAUGGUACAUUCACAGUCCUUAUCUCACAGAUAAAGUUUGCCUAGCUGGCUCCAGGGACCCAUACACAAUGUGCACAUGUCCUGACCUUGACUUUUUCUCGGACCACACCUGCCCGAGAUCCUUCGGUCUUGGGACUGGGGUGGGCGCCCGGACGGCACUGUUCAACCAUCCCUGAGUGAAAAGGAUCCAGGCCAGCCACAUGCCUGCUCUCCUGACCACACAAGGAGUGCCGCUUCAAAGGCUUUUUAGAUGCCAGAAUAGUCAAAGAAUAAUUUUAUUUUGGUGUAUUCCCCAUAUGCUGAGAAUCAUCUUUUUUAUGCUUCCAAGGCCUAGAAAUUAGGGACGUGGUUAAAAAUUUCAUCCUUAAUAUUGUGAUGUGAAAUAAAGAACGCUGGCCUGGGAGGGUGGGGCAAGGGUCCACCUCCCGGCUCCAGCAUGGACUCCCAUGUGUCUGUGGACAUCACAGCUGGUCUCUGGUUCUCGUCUCUUUGUCUAUAAAAUGAGGAGAUAAGGGGGAAAAUACACGCACACACACACACACCCUGCUCUUUCUUUAUUUCUUGCCUGUUCUGGACCAGGCGUAUGAUGCAUAUUGUCUCAUUUUAAAAUCACAACAAUCCUAAGUCAGUGUCCUUGUUACACUGCAGGUAUAACGUCACGUAGGGGGAAGAGGCUGAGCGAGAUUGGAGCCCUGACCUGACUCCAGCUAUGAAGCUGGAAUCACUGAGGCCCUCUGAGAAUCUUUCCAAGACUUGGACUCUGAUCCAGAGACUGUACGCGCUAUUCAGUCUUGCUUUCUGGGGAAGGCAUCCCAUCCCCUUGCCUACUCCUUUUCUGCAGCUUGAGUUGUAAGUAAUCUCUCUUUUCCUCCAGUGUCCAUCUCAUGGGUUUUGGCCCAGCUAUGAAGACCCUCUGGCAAAAGGAAAACAGCAUAGAUUGGCAAGCAAGUGACAGAAGUGGCCCGAGGCAAUCCUCCGCUUCAUCCUCUUGCCCCUGGAGGCAGAUCAGGCUAAACACAGAAGCAGGGCUUCAAAGGAGGGGCCUGGAUCCUCCCCACAGUGACUCACUGGGCUCCAGAGGAAGCCGGGGUCUCCCGGGAUCAGUAGUCGGCCUUGAGGUGGUUCUCUGGAAGCCCUCUCCCACGGCGAUGAGAGCAAAGAGAGGCCGUGUGGUCUCAGGGAGAGACCCCGCGUGUAGCACAGCCUCUAAUUCUCUGCGUGACCUCGGGCAAGCUACCUCCUCAGUUCUUACAAAGAGGGUGUUGGAGCUGUAGGGUGAGCAAGCAGCUUACAGUUUGGGAAUGAGGCAGAUGGAGUCUGGAUCCCAGUCCUGCCACUCAUCAGGGAAUGUGAGCUGUCACCUUUCCACCAAGGCACUCAGCAUCUAAUCGAGAGCUCCUGGCUCUGCACUUGCAGCCUCCCCAGGGGGCAGCCUGGGUCAAUUACCGCCUCUGGGCCUCAGCUCCCUCCUCUGUCGAGUGCACAGCAGAACACAGGCAGUGUGAACACUGGAGGUCACGGACAACAAGUGUCUGCUCCGGAGCAGGCCUUCGGGAGCUGUUAGGUCCAACUCCCUGCCCCUCCGCUAGCCUCGACUGGACCGUCGACGCAGCGCUUCAGGACGUGCCCCAGCCCACGCCACUGCAGAGCAGGUCUGUUCCGAACCAGACCACAGCCAGAGAUGGGUCUCCAAAUCCCGCCUCCAGAGCCUGACUUACCCACGACUGGCAUCGGAGGCCCACAGCCUGGAGUGGAGCAGGCCUGCACCGCACGCACACUCCACAGAGAGAUGACGUGGACAGGACAGGGCAAUUCAACACUGCCAUGGCCCAGGGAACCCAGGCCUCCUCUCCUAAAAGGCAGGAAUCAGACGCACUGAGUCCAGGAACGGGUGGCUUCCCCAGGUCAGCAGCCGAUCUGAGGCUUUUGCAUAUUCAGACAGGAGGGAGGAAGAGGGUUCCCUCACCCCUCUCUGUGCACCUUUUUCCUUUUUAUACCUGCCUCAGGCAGAGAAAAGCAGAAAGGAGUUCAGAAAGUCGUGCCUGCCAUUGCUAACAUUUUCAUUUUCAUUUGAGACCCAGACAAUCAAAGAAGAAACAGAAGCUUAUCAGAUGUCUCCUGCUGCUGGGCUGAGCCACACCAGUGCCUGCGGUGUGGGAACUGAGGCUCACGGUCUAAGUGAGAAUUGCCAGAGGUCAUGCAAGUGAGUUCGAAUCUCAAACCACAUCCACCAGAGGGCAAAGCCCAGGCUUCUGCGCUCUGUGUCAUUUCUUUCAAUCCCACCGUCCCACAUUCAUACCUUCGCCAAGUCUCGUUAAGUCCUGCCAUGUGUCAGACACUGUUCUGGGCUGGGGACACAGCAGCUAUCCAGACAAGGACCCUGCCCUCGAGGAGCUCCCACGCCAGUGGAGGGGCAUCUGAACAAACGCCCGUGGCAAUUUUGGAUAAACUGAGUGCUAUGAAAAAAAUAAAAUAAUGGGAAUGAGAGUGACUAUUGUGGGCGUGGAGAGGGGAGAGGGCAGGACGUGUUUCCCUCGGGUGCUUAGGGAAAGGCCCCCGGAAGAAGGGAUGUUUGAGUGAGCCUUGAAUGAUGAGAAGGCAAACACGGGGAGAUGGGGGGAGACAUCCCGCAGGCAGAAGGAAGAGCAGAGGUCCUGGGCUGGGCACCAGCUUGUGCGUUCAAGGGUCCGAAAGAGGCCAGAGAGGCUAAAACAGAGGGAGCCACGGGCAUACACAGUAGGAGAUGAGGUCAGGAGCACGGAGAAGGGCCAGUUCACGGGGUGCAGAGACCGCAGUUAGUCCUGUGUGAAGAGGGUCUUAGGACGGAAUGUGGAGUGAGUAAACUGUCCGCAUUAGAAGGGCAGCCUCCCUGCAAGAGCCAGCCUUGCACGAAGGGAACAUCCCCACUGGGCCUCUUCCCAACUGUGUGGCUGUGGGCAAGCGCCUUACCCUCUCUGGACCUUGGCCUCCUCCCGUGUAAAGCGGAGAUUAUAACACCUGCCUCACAGACCAGGGGUGAGGAUUCGACACCGUGGACUG